rnacentral:lncRNA from 11 species
CUCUUCUGUCUGCUGAUUUCAUCCUAUUCUAGCAAUAGUAGAAAGCAUUUGUUGCUUUCUCAGUCGUAGCCAAUGAGAAGUAAUGAAGCUGAUUUGGAUUCAAGGACAUUCCUCUUCUUGGAAUUACAAUUUCCAAAAUCCCCUAAGCACCAUGUACAAUGAGGGAUUCUGUGAUCAUCAUCAUCAUCAACAACAACAACAACAACAACAACAACAACAACAACAACAACAACUAUGGGGCACAAAAAAAAUCAAAUUGGAGCUGCAAUUCAAGAUCCCAAAUCUUUAUUGUUCCGUCUCCCAGGAGUUUGAUUUUACAAGUUGCCCAUAGUUGUAGGAACAGCACCUGUUUGCAUUUCUUCCAGGCCUGUUGCAGAUUCUGCAGCACCCUGAUAGUCAACCAUUAGCAGAGUUUAUAGUCAGUUUGCAAAGCCUUGCUGCUAUAGGCUUGAAAAGUAUCCUUUUGUUCUGGAGACCGCCCCUUUUCCUGGGGAAAGAAGGCUCCAUUUUGAGAAGCUUCUGCCUUCUAGACUGAAGAAGAAACAACUUAGAUGUGCUUGUGUGGCCAAGCCAAGCCAACUCUGACAAGGCCAUCAUAAGUACUGACCUGCCUUUAAAACCAGUGCCGAGCAUAGAUAGGGAAAGACCUGUUCUUUCUAAAAAUAGUAGCUUGGCACUGGGGCAGAGAACAUCUCCGGAUUUCUUUGCCACUGGAAGAAGCCCUACCAACUUUGCCUCAAAAACUAGCUUUGAGCUUAGAUAGUUAUAGAUCUUUUGAUAGCAGCUCAGAGCUAGGGUGAAGAGGAUCUCAGGAUCUCUUCGCCUUUGGUGGAAGUUAACCCAGCAUCUAAAGGAGAAAAGCAAGACAGGAACAUCUGCAAGGUUUUAUAAGUUGACUGUUUAUAUUUGCAACCUUAAUUACGUGUGCCAAGUCUGCCAAGGACUUUGUGAAAAUAAAAUUUUGUUUGAUUGUUCUACUUGAAGUGCCUUUGGUUACUGGGAUUUCCAGAGCUUCUAAGUAAGGCCCCCGCAGUUCACCUGGGCAAAGGAAGAAGCACAUCCUAAAGCUUUAAAAGGUGCCUGGGUGUGACAGCAUAUGCAUCUUUGCACUGUAGUCCCUGCUCCACGCACAACUGGGAUUGGUGAGAUCUUGGCCCUAGGGUUGGAUGUCACCUCCUUUUAUACACAACUGUAUAAAAUCCAGAUUAUCUGCUUUGAAUUGGAUUAUAUGGUAGUGUAGACUCAGAAAAUCCUGUUCAAAGCAGAUAAUGUGGAUUAUCUGAUUUGAUAUUCUGGAUUAUAUAGGGGUGCAGAAGGGCCCUGAGAUACAUGUAUGCUUCUCCUGGUGUAAUUAAUCUGGUCUAGAUGCCUCCCAUAUACAGUCAGCCUCCAUAUUCCCUAGGGUUGGGGGCACAGAACCCAUGCAGAUAUGAACAAAUCCAAAUAAAAAAACCUCUUAUACUCCGGCAUGGCUCUGUGAUCGACUUCUGGUAGAAAUUGACCAUAGUGUCACACUGGAGAACCUAGGGAUAGAACUGGAUGUCAAUCA